AUUGAACGCUGGCGGCAGGCCUAACACAUGCAAGUCGAGCGGAGCGGCGGACGGGUGCGUAAUGCAUAGGUAUCUGACUGGUCGUGGGGGAUAACGACCGGAAACGGGCGCUAAUACCGCAUACUAUCAGACGAGCCUAGGUCGGUUUAGCUAGUUGGUGGGGGAAAGGCCGACCAAGGCGCCGACCCGUAACUGGUCGGAGAGGAUGAUCAGUCACACUGGAACUGAGACACGGUCCAGACUCCUACGGUAGGCAGCAGUGGGGAAUAUUGGACAAUGGGCGAAAGCCUGAUCCAGCCAUGCCGCGUGUGUGAAGAAGGUCGUCGGAUUGUAAAGCACUUUAAGUUGGGAGGCGUUACCAACAGAAGAAGCACCGGCUAACUUCGUGCCAGCAGCCGCGGUAAUAC
rnacentral:rRNA from 1 species